rnacentral:rRNA from 1 species
UACGUAGGGUGCAAGCGUUGUCCGGAAUUAUUGGGCGUAAAGAGCUCGUAGGCGGUCUGUCACGUCGGCUGUGAAAUCCCGAGGCUCAACCUCGGGUCUGCAGUCGAUACGGGCAAACUAGAGUAUUGCAGGGGAGACUGGAAUUCCUGGUGUAGCGGUGAAAUGCGCAGAUAUCAGGAAGAACACCCGUGGCGAAGGCGGCUCUCUGGAACGCAACUGACGCUGAGACGCGAAAGCGUGGGGAGCAAACAGG